rnacentral:rRNA from 1 species
GAUGAACGCUGGCGGCGUGCCUAAUACAUGCAAGUCGAGCGAACAGACGAGGAGCUUGCUCCUCUGACGUUAGCGGCGGACGGGUGAGUAACACGUGUAUCACCUACCUAUAAGACUGGGAUAACUUCGGGAAACCGGAGCUAAUACCGUAUAAUAUCUUGCACCGCAUGGUUCAAUAGUGAAAGACGGUUUUGCUGUCACUUAUAGAUGGAUCCGCGCCGCAUUAGCUAGUUGGUAAGGUAACGGCUUACCAAGGCAACGAUGCGUAGCCGACCUGAGAGGGGGAUCGGCCACACUGGAACUGAGACACGGUCCAGACUCCUAAGGGAGGCAGCAGUAGGGAAUCUUACGCAAUGGGCGAAAGCCUGACGGAGCAACGCCGCGUGAGUGAUGAAGGUCUUCGGAUCGUAAAACUCUGUUAUUAGGGAAGAACAAAUGUGUAAGUAACUAUGCACGUCUUGACGGUACCUAAUCAGAAAGCCACGGCUAACUACGUG